rnacentral:rRNA from 1 species
AUUGAACGCUGGCGGCAGGCCUAACACAUGCAAGUCGAACGAGUGGCGGACGGGUGAGUAAUGUCUGGGAAACUGCCUGAUGGAUGGGGAUAACUACUGGAAACGGUAGCUAAUACCGCAUACCAUCGGAUGUGCCCAGAUGGGAUUAGCCAGUAGGUGGGGUAAAGGCUCACCUAGGCGAAGAUCCCUAGCUGGUCAGAGAGGAUGACCACGCACAGUGGAACUGAUGCACGGUACAGACACCGACGGCAGGCAGGUGUGGGGAAUAGUGGGCAAUGGGCGCAAGCCUAGUGCGUCAAUGCCGCGUGAAUGAAGGAGGCCUUCGGGUUGGAAAGUACUUUCAGCGGGGAGGCGGUACCCGCAGAAAAAGCACCGGCUAACUCCGUGCCAGCAGCCGCGGUAAUUC